UACGGAGGGUGCAAGCGUUAUCCGGAUUCACUGGGUUUAAAGGGCGCGUAGGCGGGCAGGUAAGUCAGUGGUGAAAUCUCCGGGCUUAACUCGGAAACUGCCAUUGAUACUAUCUUUCUUGAAUACCGUGGAGGUCAGCGGAAUAUGUCAUGUAGCGGUGAAAUGCUUAGAUAUGACAUAGAACACCAAUUGCGAAGGCAGCUGGCUACACGAAUAUUGACACUGAUGCACGAAAGCGUGGGGAUCAAACAGG
rnacentral:rRNA from 1 species